CCUACGGGAGGCAGCAGUAGGGAAUAUUGCUCAAUGGGGGAAACCCUGAAGCAGCAACGCCGCGUGGAGGAUGAAGGUUUUCGGAUUGUAAACUCCUUUUGUUAGAGAAGAUAAUGACGGUAUCUAACGAAUAAGCACCGGCUAACUCCGUGCCAGCAGCCGCGGUAAUACGGAGGGUGCAAGCGUUACUCGGAAUCACUGGGUGUAAAGAGAGCGUAGGCGGGAUAGCAAGUCAGAUGUGAAAUCCUAUGGCUUAACCAUAGAACUGCAUUUGAAACUGUGAUUCUAGAGUAUGGGAGAGGUAGGUGGAAUUCUUGGUGUAGGGGUAAAAUCCGUAGAGAUCAAGAGGAAUACUCAUGGCGAAGGCGACCUGCUAGAACAUAACUGACGCUGAUGCGCGAAAGCGUGGGGAGCAAACAGGAUUAGAUACUCCAGUAGUC
rnacentral:rRNA from 1 species